GCCGCGUUCGGAAUGAGUACGAUUCGAAACCACCUAACGAGGAACGAUCGAGGGCAAGUCUGGUGCCAGCAGCCGCGGUAAUUCCAGCCUCCAAUAGCGUACGUUAAAAGUUGCUGCAGUUAAAAAGCUCGUAGUUGAACGUUCGGGUUCCGCGGGACGGGGCCGCCCCGCGAGGGACGGCGCCGGCCCCGGGGCUCGUGAUAUCUCAUCUCGCCGCCCGUCGCGAGGCGGACGGAGGGAUGGAUGAGGUUACCUGGAAAAAAUCGGGGCGAUCUAGGCGGGCGAACCUCGCCAACGAACGAUCGGACAUGGGAUAACGGAAGAGGGCGUCGGCUCGACUUCGUCGGUUCCUCGGGCCGAGGCACGUACGGUGAAUAGGGACGGUCGGGGCCGCCCGUACCGGGUCGUGAGAGGUGAAAUUCUAGGAUCGACCCGAGACGAACCGCCGCGAAAGCAUUCGGCAAGGACGCUUUCAUUAAUCAAGAAC
rnacentral:rRNA from 1 species